rnacentral:tRNA from 1 species
CAGGGAGACAACAAAAUGUUUAAUAUUAUUAUUUUGUCACCUUAGGUCGAUCGGUAUCUCACGUUCUUAAUUAAUUAAGAAUUUCAUUUCCUAAGUUUUUCUAGGUCACACCCAUUAUUUUUCCUGGGCCAUUAGCUCAGGUGGUUAGAGCGCACCCCUGAUAAGGGUGAGGUCCCUGGUUCAAGUCCAGGAUGGCCCAUAUCUCUAUGUUGGGGGUAUAGCUCAGUUGGUAGAGCGCCUGCUUUGCAAGCAGGAUGUCAGCGGUUCGAGUCCGCUUACCUCCACUGAUUACCACCUCUUCCAUAAUUUAUAGAAAGGAAAUCUUUUGAGUUGUGAUCAAAUUCUGAACGAAUCUAGCUUCCUAAUGAAAUCAUUAAGAUGCUGGACUCAUUGAAUUAAUUUCAUUGUUUUCAGAGAACCUUGACAACUGCAUAGAUUAUUUUUAAAGACAAUAAGCAUCUUUAAUGAUGCAGAUUUAUUAUUUGUGCAAAUGCAUAAAUAACAAUUCUAUUAAGCUGAUGCUUCAAUAUUUGAAGUUAUU